AUACAUAUACAAUUUAAAAUUACAAAAUAAUAAAAUACUGUAGUUAAAAAAACGUUGGUUUAAGGAUGAAAACGUUCGUUACGGUUAAUAAAUAAUUCUCAAUGACAUAAGAUGUUUUUGCGUAGGUAUAACAUAAAAGCAAUUAUUCUCACAGUUAUGCAAGAUUUUUUUUAUUUACACAAAUCAUAUGAAGUCUUUCGGAUGUUAAGAUUAACUUUCAUCACGGCCAUCAUAACCUGUCUAACACGUAUCACUUUUCAAAUAUUAACAGUACUAGACCACUAUUAAUUAGUAGUGGUUGACCAUCCUCUUUUCCAGAAGGAGAUCAAGAACUACUUUUGGUCGAAUUACUUCAACCCCUUCCGCAACGUUCUCUUCUUUCUAUCGAACGAGCGGUAUGGUUAGCAUUGGAAUUGGAAAAUCCAAAAUACGAGGUUAACGGCCAGCACAAAAUAUGAUUUAAGUGAUUUUCGAGGGUGCCGAGUUUAAUAAUAUUAAAAUUUUUCAUAAUGUCGAAUAAAGAUUUUUGAAUUGUUCUACAGCAUUAGAAAUUUUCACUUGAAGACGUCAUUAUUUUAUAAAAUUUAAACGUUCUUUUUUAAAACGUUUACGAAACCAAACGGUUCUACGUUCUAUCGACUUUAAAACGAAAGGAUUCAAAAUAAAUGAACUUUUUUGGAAUUUUUACUGGAUAUUGUAAUCUGACGAUAUAAUAUUUUUUUGAAAUAAUUUUAAUAAUUUGAAACAAUAUAUUGAAGUGUUUCAUUGAAUUCAACAUGUGGAAUAACGGCCAUUUUUACAGACACGAUUCGAUACAUGGGUAAGAAUGGUGUGUUCUUCUUCUUAAUCAUUACUUGGCUUCCAAAUAACCUAUCCUUUGUUUUGUCUUCAUGAUGCGACACCAUCUUGACGCGCAACAUUUGAAUUCUUACCAGUUCGGAUCGAUGCCCGUGAACCCCAACCGAACGAGAAUUUUCCGGCAUGAAAGACAGAUUUUUGAAUAGCAAACAAUCGAAAACUUGGAAAAUCGAAAAUCCGAAGAAUUUUCUAGUUGUAGAACAGACUCCAGAUGUUCGGAUGAAGACGAUUACAUCAAAGAGACGGACAACUGCGGAAGGUAUGCAGUUUCUUCGUCCGCUUGUGCAGACGUAACCGAAGAUCUAAAGAGAAACAGAAAAAAACUGAAAGAUUUGCACAUUGAAAGUAUGAAAGAAGACAGAGAACCAGAAGAUAAUGAGAAUUCUUCGCAUUUUCGCGAACAAUUAGAAAUUUUCGAACUUCUUAAAAAGUCUGACUGUCGACACGAAAUGCUAAAGAAUAUGGGGAUGAAUUGGUUCUACGACGACACUUUAUUGGACCAGACCGAUUCUGACAGUGAAGAUGACGUUCGAAUUGUUAUUAACUCUCUGAAAGACGAUUCAAAAGAUGCGAAGAUCGAUGACGACAAAGAAAACGUGAGUCCCGAUUGGAAAAAAAGAAAAUCCAAUUUGACAUCAUUAGACACUUCUCAAUGGUCUUUGAAGAGGAUCGCGGAAACGAGUAACGUGCGAAAGAGAAUUCGAGAGAUGGAAAGAAAGAGACAGGCACUCGACGAAAAUUUUGAGACAAAUAAGGGAACAAAGAUAUCCAAAAUGAUCGACGAAAACGACUUUUAUCAUUCGACUGUCAACUCGGCGUUUUCAGAAGAAACGAAAGAUGCAGGAACAGAAAAGAGGAGAACGGUGGUGGAAAAUGCGGAUAGUUAGGAAUUCGUCUCUGAAAUGUUUGAAUGGUUUGAUAACAACGUGAAGGAGUUAUGCAAGGAAAAAUUCGUAAAUUCCCAUCCCAUUCGAUAUCGUCAAUGUGAGGAGAUUGAUCGAUCGCCAUUUAAGAGAUCAGAAUUUGGAAUAUUAGCAAGAGAUACAAAAGGAGUCGAUCAGAAAAUGGAAAAGUUGGUCAAUCUAGAAGUGACGAAAAAUUAUUUGUUUGGAACGAAACUAGAAGCAAUGAAAAUAUUCGAUAGUUUUACAGUAGAAAUGACGAAUUUCCCAAACCAGGUGGAAGAUUUAGAAAUUUUUACGGGAAAAGAAAGAUCGGAUGUCACUUCGACUCCUGGCUGAGGAGAAACGGGGAAACUGUUCCAAUAUGAUUUGAAUCUUUCCUUUAAGUCUUCUUCCGAAAUCAUUCCAAAUGACAAAAAUGAAGGAAAUUAAUGAAAAUCUUUCGAACUGAUCGAAGAGUACUGUUAUUAAUUGUACCUUGUGUGUGUACACUUUUGUGUAAAAUACGAAAGAAUUAAU